ensembl:miRNA microRNA 148b
CUUUCCAAAUAAAGUUCUGUGAAACACUCCGACUCUUAAUUGCUUGCAGUCAGUGCAUUACAGAACUUUGUUUUGGGAGU